GACGAACGCUGGCGGCGUGCUUAACACAUGCAAGUCGAACGCUGAAGCUCAGCUUUUGUUGGGUGGAUGAGUGGCGAACGGGUGAGUAACACGUGAGUAACCUGCCUCCUUCUUUGGGAUAACGCCCGGAAACGGGUGCUAAUACUGGAUAUUCACUGGUCUUCGCAUGGGGGUUGGUGGAAAGGGUUUUUCUGGUGGGGGAUUGGCUCGCGGCCUAUCAGCUUGUUGGUGGGGUGAUGGCCUACCAAGGCUUUGACGGGUAGCCGGCCUGAGAGGGUGACCGGUCACAUUGGGACUGAGAUACGGCCCAGACUCCUACGGGAGGCAGCAGUGGGGAAUAUUGCACAAUGGGCGCAAGCCUGAUGCAGCGACGCCGCGUGAGGGAUGGAGGCCUUCGGGUUGUGAACCUCUUUCGCUCAUGGUCAAGCCGCAACAAUGGUUGUGGUGAGGGUAGUGGGUAAAGAAGCGCCGGCUAACUACGUG
rnacentral:rRNA from 1 species